UACGUAGGGAGCUAGCGUUGUUCGGAAUCACUGGGCGUAAAGCGCACGUAGGCGGAUGUGUCAGUCAGGGGUGAAAUCCCGGAGCUCAACUUCGGAACUGCCCUUGAUACAGCACGUCUUGAGUCCGGAAGAGGUGGGUGGAAUUCCUAGUGUAGAGGUGAAAUUCGUAGAUAUUAGGAAGAACACCGGUGGCGAAGGCGGCCCACUGGUCCGGUACUGACGCUGAGGUGCGAAAGCGUGGGGAGCAAACAGG
rnacentral:rRNA from 1 species